GAAUUCAGCAACUGACAUGUACUCUUCAAUUCCCCCUACUGCCGCAUUCAAAAUGCUCACCAAGGUGCUAAAGAACGCAUGAACAAAAAGGUUAAAGCUAAGGUGGUACCACCGAUGGGGAUGCUAUGGUGUUGUCGCCAGAGGAAGUGGGCGUACAAGCAGGUGGUGCGGUCGUACCCAGAGUUCAUGAUGGAGUUCGAUCGGAUGCAGCCGAGCGACAUCGUUUGGGAGCCGUACACAGAUACGGCAGCCCUCGCUAGGACUUCGCGCAGUCUCUCCACUAUGUGCACACGGGACAAGGCGUACUAGAUGACCAUCGUACCCCUUGUGUUUGACAUGUUCGUCGAGCCCCACUGUCCUCACCAUGUGCUUUGAUAGUUUGGUCUCCUUCAUUCGUUCCGAGUGCCACUAUAGCCAGC